rnacentral:rRNA from 1 species
GACGAACGCUGGCGGCGUGCUUAACACAUGCAAGUCGAACGCUGAAGCUCAGCUUUUGUUGGGUGGAUGAGUGGCGAACGGGUGAGUAACACGUGAGUAACCUGCCUCCUUCUUUGGGAUAACGCCCGGAAACGGGUGCUAAUACUGGAUAUUCACUGGUCUUCGCAUGGGGGUUGGUGGAAAGGGUUUUUCUGGUGGGGGAUGGGCUCGCGGCCUAUCAGCUUGUUGGUGGGGUGAUGGCCUACCAAGGCUUUGACGGGUAGCCGGCCUGAGAGGGUGACCGGUCACAUUGGGACUGAGAUACGGCCCAGACUCCUACGGGAGGCAGCAGUGGGGAAUAUUGCACAAUGGGCGCAAGCCUGAUGCAGCGACGCCGCGUGAGGGAUGGAAGCCUUCGGGUUGUGAACCUCUUUCGCUCAUGGUCAAGCCGCAACAAUGGUUGUGGUGAGGGUAGUGGGUAAAGAAGCGCCGGCUAACUACGUG